rnacentral:lncRNA from 1 species
UUAUGUUAAAAGGUAUUAUUAACCAACUUACUACAAUAUGUAUAGAAAUGCCCAUGCUUUAUAAAAGGAAAAUUUCGACAUCUGGUCAUUAUGAACGGAGAAAUUGCUACAGCCAGUCAUUACGAGAUCUCAGUCAUGCAUUACGAAAUCUCAGUCAUGCAUUACGAAACCACACCCGUGCAUUACGAAAUCACAGUCAUGCAUUAUGAACAGUUGAAACGGGACAUCGAUUAAAACAAAAUGUCGAUUAUUUCUGUAAAUAAGUGUGACAUUUUUUUAUUCUUUUU